rnacentral:lncRNA from 1 species
GACUCUCUCUCUCCUUGGCUUUUCAUUUCCUACCUUGACUGACUCUCUCUCUCUCUCUCUCAUCGUAACCUUGUGGGCAGCCAUGGCUGGGUCUUACUUUCGCUGGUUCAAGAAUAACGAAGGAAACGCCAAUGACCAAAACAGAGGAGGUAUAUCUUUGCUUAUACUGUAAGAUAAAUCCAACUCUGUUGGAAUUUCUUACCUUCUAAUAUCUAUAUUAAUAUAUAAAAAUCCAAAUCACUGUAUCAUGAUCAUAUAUGAUUAGAUUUGUUUGUUAUGUUAUAGACCUAUUUUUCUUAUUUGAUUUAUCAAUUUUUGUUUUUCAGAUAUUAAUUAUUGACAAUAAAACUUAUAUUUAAAAAUAAAAAAAGAAAGCCCUUCUCAUUUGAUUCUCUUUUGUUUUCAAUUAUUAAAAACAGAGGAAAAUGCAAUUCCAGAACCAAGCAGAGGAGGUAUGUUACAAGUGAAUUGCUAAACAUCCUAUUUGAAAUUUCGAUUAUGUGUGAAAUUUAUAUUUGCCGUACUACAUCUUUUAGUUUCGUAAGGAAUUAUUGACUUAAAAGUAGACCUAGCUAGAUCUAUGGAACGGAAUAAAUGGAAAAUUGAAAUAUGAGUAUUUUAAUAAUCAAACCGAAUUGAUUUUAAUCAAAAAUUAAAUCAAAUCGAAUCGAUUUGAUUCAAUUUAAUUUAAUGAGUUUUAGUUUUUAAUAAAUUUUUUUAUUUUUUACGCCGUUUUUUAAUAUUUUAAAAUUUAAUUGAAAUAUUUUAAUCUAUAAUCUAAUCUCUUUAUAUUAUUAAAAAUAAUAUAUUAUUACCAUCAAUCAGUUCAGUUUGAUUAUUUUAAUUUUUUUUUUAUCAAAAUCAAACCGAAUUGAAAUAACUAAAAUUUUUAAAAUUAAAAUUCGAAUUGAAAUAAAUAAAAAAUUUAACUUAAUUUUUAAAUUAAUUCAGUUCGGUUAAUUUUUUCGAUUUGAAUUCAAUACUGCUCACUCUUAACCAGAUUUAUUCAAGCCGUGAAUUGAAUUGAAAUGAUCAAUUAAAUUCUAAGGUGACUCCCCCUUAUGAAUGAGAAAAAAUGGGAUUUUUAUAAUGUUUUGAUGUUUAACCUAGGGUUUUAGAGUCAAAAUAAGAGGAAAAUUAUAUUCUUAUAGUGUCUCACGACUAGGCCGUGCCUGAGGAGACUUUGUCUCGGCCCAGUUGAUCAAGUAUAAUUUAGCGACAUUUUUCUUAUUAUUAUUACUAUUUAAAUAUGUAUUUUCUUACCUUAAUUUAUAUUUUUACAAUAUUUUUGCAGAAAAGGAGAAAAAUGGAAACUUGGAGAAAAAUAGCUUGAAAUGCUAGAAAACUGAUUUGGCCGAAGCGAUUUGACCAAAUCAAGCCUCAAAGAAUGCCAAAGGCAGCUACAAGAAGAGGAAGCUAACCUACAAGACUUGAUAUGCCUAUGUUGAUUUGCCCGGAUCGUUGGCCAAAUCACCUUAAGAAAAGUUGAAACUGAAACCCGGAGGAAACACGCAGAAAUGAUUUGGGCGAGGGAUUUGCUCAAAUCACUGUCUAAAUCAACGGUCCUCAGCAAGAAAAUACAGAAGCACGGAAAAGCAAAAAUCCAAAGAUUCAAACGUCUUAGAGUCCUAUCCUACUUCAAAUACACCAAGACCAAUCCUAUGACACCACAUAAACUGCACCAAAAGGAGUCCUACACCAAAUGAGAUCUAUUCAUGCUAGAAUAUAAGAUAAAGAAGAAAUAAAAAAAAGACCAUCAAAGACCAAGUCUAAAUAAGAUUCCAACUCCAAGAAGGAUUAAGACUUCUCACCUAUAAAAAAGGGCAGCAACCAACAGCAAAAAAAUAUCAGAAUUUUGGGCAGAAGCUUCGACAACACCUCUCGCUCUCAUUUUCUUCUUCUUUUUCUCUUUUAUGUGUUCUUUAUCCACCAUGAGUGGCUAAAAACUUUUAUCUCUAGUUGAAGUUGGAGAAAUUUCAGUUUGUUAUGAAUUGGGAGAUUUGAAACUCCAUUGUUAAAACUUUUAUUUUUCAAGAUUUAUGCAACUUGUUCUUCAUGUCUAUUAUUGCCUUGCUAUUAGAAUCAAUAAGGGCCCAUUGCUUUUAAUUAUAGGUAAUAUAUUGUUAGUUUAAAUAAUUUAGGUCUGUAAUUGCUUAGAUUAUUUGAACACAAGUAACAAUUGGUUGCAUGAUCUAACUUAACCACGCGGUUGACAUUAGAAUUAGGUUUCUCUAUUUUUUAAUGCAGUUAACAGUUGAAAAGUGAAAAACUCUAAAGACGUUCCUUGGCAAUUUGUUAACUAGUGUUUGAUUAACGAACAUUUCCUAAUCAAAUUAAAACUAAUGAGGAAUUUGGUUGUGGGAAGCGUCUUCCACAACCUAAACUAAUUUAUUAAUAUAAAUAGAAGUAUCCAAGCGUCAAUGAUCAAUUCUAAACUGAAAUGGAUCAUAUACUUCAAUUAGAGUCUUUUUAUUAUUGAUUUACCCAUCUUUUAAUUAUUGCUCUCUUUACUACUUUAGUAUUAAUCUUAGAUCAUCAUCAUAAAAAACAACCCCCUUUAUUUUAUUUUUGUUAGUUGAUUUGCCCCGGUCAUUGUUAGGAAAGUCUUUAGUGUCAAAUCUCUGUGUUUCGAUCCUAUUGCCACUAUCUACAGUUCUUUUUGGUGAUUAUUAAUAGAUUUAUUUUUUACGAUUUCGACAACCGCUAUCACUAGUGGUGAAAACUACUGUCCAUUUAGGCAAAAAACAUGUCUCACGACAAGGUUGUGAGACAUUUUGACCUCAUUUUUUUUUUCUAUUCAUUGCUCCUCAUGGCCUAUUUGUGAAUUUUGGUUGGCCAUGAGAAGUUUUGACUUUUGAUCUCCAAAAUGUUCAAAAUCUUCAAAAUAAACUCCAAUUCUACUUUAGAAAUAAAAAAAAUUAAUAAAAGUUAGAUAUUUUAAAAUUAAUAUCUACCAAAUAAAAAUUAUAUAAAAAAUAAGUAUAGAAUUGUAUUUAAAUGUGGUAAAAAUAAAUAUAAAAAUUUAUUAUAUUAAUAAGUGAAAUAUUAGUUAACUUAAAAUAUGUAUUUUUUUUAAUUUUAAUUGGAACCUAUCAUCCUAGGUUCUUCAGUUUUUGCAUUCAACUGAAUUUAUUUGCAUCUGGGUAUGGAUCUGAAAUUUGCUGUGGAUAAGAUAUAUAUACACACACACGUAUAAAUAUGGUUAACAAUGGAGAAGGAUAUUGUAGCAAUGGGAGAUUGAACUGGUAGCACAAUUAUUGGCUUUCAUUAAUACAAUUAGAACAUAUAUAGACUGAGAGAAAUCAUCACCUCAUUUAGGAAGUUUAAUUAAUGUUACAGAUUCUCUUUAUCAAUUAUAACAAAACCUGAACGAAUUAAAUAAACCAUUUGUUAUUAUGUAAAUUAAAGAAUGAAUAAUUAAAAAAUCACAAUCAUAUGAAUUAGGUUCACCUUCCAGAUCGUUGACUUUUGAAAAAGGGUUAAAAUACUAAUUAAAUUUGAAGGCCAUGAUUGUUCAUGGAUAGAGUCUUAGCAUAAGUGUAUCCAUUCAUACGUCUAAGUGGAAAUCACGUUAACCUUAUGCCUUAAUAAACAAUACACAACUUGUUAUUUUUGUAAGACUUUUAUAUUUUUAUUUUAUUUUCAUUGUUGGCCACUACACGAAAUUGAUUGGUCAAUUAUUGAGUUAAAGUUAGAAUAAAGAGAAACUCAUUGAGCUAAAGUUACCUACUGUCUUCCUUCAUCCUUCCUACUUACUCUCUAUCUCUGACCAUUCCCAUUCACACUCUAUAAGAACUGUAUUAUAUUUAUACUUGCAACAAACCUCUGGUCGUGGUUGCAUAAGUCUGCAAGUUCCGAUGGCCUCUCGCUUGGGGAUGAACGGGGCAGAUCGCCGGAUGGAAACUAGAGGUAUUACUUGUUUUUAGCUGAAACUGUUGUACCAAAUAGUAAUAGUUCAUGGAGAUUUCAUUUCAUCUAACUCAUUGGGGCAUGUUGUCUAUUGAUUGUCACUGAGCACAGAUCCAAAUGAAUCUGGCUCAUCUCCUGAGAAGAGACCAAGUCAUACAUCUGCAUCUGUCAAUUAUAAUGAUAUUGGGCCAAAGCCAUAUUCAUACAGUGAAUUAGCAAGGGUAACUGGUCAUUUCUCGCUUAAUAACCUAAUUGGUCGAGGUGGUUUUGGUCAUGUUUUUAAGGCAGUCUUAGAUGGUGAGAUUCGUGCUAUCAAGAAACUUGAUUUUCUGGAUGUACAAUCUGAAGGAAGUUUGGAGAGGGAGAUUAUGGUCAUCAAAAGCAUCAGCCACAGAAACCUCGUUGAACUGGUUGGUUACUGUAUUGAUGGAGCCAAUAGAUUGCUCAUCUUAAAGUAUUUUCCAAAUGGAUCCUUGAGAUUUAAAUUACAUGGUGAGUCCCAUAUCCUUUCUUUUACUUUUAUGUUCAUCUAACUAAUCAAUAUGACAUAAUUAAUCUUACAAAUUAUAAAUGGUAUUAUAGGAAGUGAUAAUGUUUUGGACUGGGAGACAAGAAUGAAGAUCGCCAUAGGUUCUGCAAGAGGGUUAGAAUAUUUACAUGAAAAUUGUGAGUAUAUACUACUACAUAUUCUUAUAUGGCAGGAUUUUAGCUUUUGAGUGUAAAUUUAUUUAUUUAUUUUUAUUUAUGUUGAUAAUUUAUUUUCUCUCAAAAUUUUAUAUUCUUUUUUUUAUAUUUUUUUCAGGUAAACCUAAGAUUAUACAUUUAGAUAUUAAACCAGAUAAUAUUCUUCUCGACGAAAAUUUUGAACCUAAGGUGAGUUAAUUUUAUAAUUAAUAAAUAUUUUAUUUAUAUUACUGUUCUCUAACAAAAAAAAUAUCAUUAAAUACCAAAAUUUUAUUUUUAAACAGUAUUGAAAAAUUAUGUGAACUCAUUAAUUAUAUAAUUUGAUUGUUGUAAUUAAUUAAUAAAUUUUGGUUCUAACUUUUUGGUUUGGCCAUAUAUCUUAUAAAAAAAUUAAUAAAUCAAUCUUAGUAGGUUUCUUAUCUUUUUUUUUUCAUGAUUUAAAGUUUUCUUAAUAAACCUUAUUGAAGUAGGGAAAAUAGUGUAAUUUAUCAAAUUAAAAAAGUAAUAAACUUAUUAAUCUUCUCAAAUCAUUUGUUUAGAUAACAGAUUUUGGACUUGCUCAAUUUUUUACGGACGGUGCUACUCACAUAUCCAAAUCGUCAGUUAUGGGAACCCAUGUGUAAGAUAUAAAUUUCUUUUUUAUCAUUUAAUUGCAUCGCUAUUAUUGUUUAACUCUUUCGUUGCCAUUAUUAUCUACUCUUAGACUAGUUUAAAAAUAAAAUAAAAUUUAAAACAGACCAAAAAAAACCCACGAAAAGAAAUUAGGACUUGAAGAUCUUAGUUCGUUAAAGAAAAUUUUAACAUGAUUUUUUUUAGAAAUUUAUAAUUUAGUACCUCAAUAUUGCAAUUAUUAACAAGUCAGUUCUCGUAUUUUCAGAAAUCUAUUAAAAUGUCUUUAUUUCUGCUGUUAAAAAUAUAUCAAAAAACCAAAUUAUCUCCCUUCUUUUCCUCUUCCUUCUUCUUCAUUAAUUCUUCCUCCUCUUCUUCUUCUUUGGUUCUUCUAUUUCUUCUUCUUCGAUUUUUUUUUAUUCUUAUUCUUUAAAGAGGAGGAGACGAUUCUUCUUCUUCUUCUUCUUCUUCAUCAUCAUCAUCUUCUUCUCCUUCUUUUUCUUCUUCUUCUUCUUCUUCUUCUUUUUCUUCUUCUUUUUCUUCUCCUUCAUCAUCAUCUUCUUCUUUUUUUAUUCUUCUUUGAGGAGGAGGAGGAGGAGGAGGGACUAUUUUAUUGACGGAAAGAAACGAUAAAGACGUUUUAAUGGAUAUGAGAAAAGAUAAGAACGUUUUAAUAGAUUUCUAAAAAUAUAGGGACUAACUUGUUAAUAAUAACAAUAUCCAAGAACUAAAUAAGGGGUUUUAUUUGAAAGCAAAAUUGUAUUUUAAAAGUUUUUUCUCUCAUUCUUUAUCUAUUUUUAAUGGAAAAGAGGACGGAAUGACUAUUUCGUUGACGGAAGAACUAUUUCGUUAACAGAGAAAAAAGAUAAAGAAGUUUUAAUAGGUUUCUAAAAAUACAGAGAUUGACUUAUUAAUAAUAACAAUACUCAAAGACUAAAUAAUAAAUCUCUCUUUUUUUUUGGUAAGUACCUUAAUAUGAAAUUUAAUUGUGAUGAUUUUACUGCAGUUAUGAAGAUCCAUUUACAACAAAAAUGGGAAAAUACUCAGACAAAUCUGAUAUUUAUUCUUUUGGUGUUACACUUUUAGAGUUGAUCACCGGAAGAAAACCCAUAUAUAAUGGAAUUGACAUUAUUACUUGGGUAUGACUCUAUUUGCAUUAAAGAUUUUAUUUUAAACAUUCAAUUGAAAAAAAAAUAAAACUUUUGAAUUUAGAUAUUCUAUUUAGAUUUGAGUCUAAUGCAUUUAUUAUCCAUUAAUAAAUAAUUUUUUAAACAUUCAAUUGAAAAAAAUAAAACUUUUGAAUUUAGAUAUUCUAUUUAGAUUUGAGUCUAAUGCAUUUAUUAUCCAUUAAUAAAUAAUUUUUUAAUCAAUGUCUUUUAGGCAAAUCCUUUAAUUGAGAACGCCAUAGAUGGAAGAUAUGUGAAUUUGGUAGAUUCCAAAUUACAAUCCUUCGACCAGGAAGAGAUGCAUAGAAUGAUUUCUUGUAUUAAUUCUUGUCUAAAUCAAUUACCAAACUCUCGUCCAACAAUGGAAAAGGUAAAAUUUAUUCAUACAAUUAACUUAAUUUUAAUAUAUUCAAAACUAUAUAUAUAUAUUACACAUUAUAUAUUUUCAAUUAAUUUUAUGAAAGCAUAUAUCUCGAAAGAUUACAUAGUUAACUUGUAAACAGAUACGAUUAGUUCUUGAAGGAAAAUUACCUCCAGAGAAAUUAUACAAACACAAAUUGCAAUGGAGUAUUACACAUGAAGGUACAUAUUCUUUUAUAUUAAUUUAUUAUAAAUUAUAUGUAUAUUUAUUCGAAAGUUUGAUCUAAUUGAUGUCUAAAUUUUGAUUUAAUUUGUGUCUUAUCUUAAUAUCAAGAAACAAAUGUUGAUUUUCAACUGUAAAAAUAUAAUUUUUUUUUUUAAUUUGAAAUUUAUAACAAAUUAGUUUUUAACCAAAUCUAAUAGCAUAUUAAUGAAAUAUAAUUUUAACAAUGAUGAAACAUUUACCUUAAAAUUCAUUCACAUAAUUUAAUUCUGGUACAUUUCAAAAUUCUCUCUAUUUUACGGACUAUUUUCAAUUAAUUUUGUGGAAACAUUGAGAGAAUACGUAAUCGACUAUUAAAUCUGAUUGGCUAUAAUUCCUUUAUUUAAAAAGAGGAAGGAAUGAUAUGAACUUAUUUCACCUUUAAAAAAAAUGUUUCUGCCUCAGAUUUUGCUUUUUUCCGUUAAUAAUUCUCCUUACAGAGCUGCACUAAUUUACCCUUUUUCUUUUUUUUGGCAAGCAGAUGAGCCUAAGCCAAGUCCCAAGCCUCCAAUCAUUCAAGGAACUAAUAAUAAUAGUACACGAAAUAUUCGACUUGCCAGGCGACGUCGACCAACAGAAGCAACUAGCAAUGGUUCCUCCAACAUCAUUCAAGAAACUUCAUUUGAUGAUGAGAUGAUAUAUGAAAAGCCCGUUUUGGACAGAGGAGAAAACUGUUGCAUUUCAUAAAACCUUAAACCUUUCUCUUUCUUAUUUUUUAUAGACCAGGUCCUCCUUAUCAUUUUAAGCCUCUCUUUUUUUUUUUUUUUAAAACCAUAACUUAUUACAUUUCUACACAUUCUCUCUAUUGGAUAUGACCUAACUUUAAAAAAUAGCCUCUUUUACUUAAGUCCAAUAUCAAAUUUGGAGUAUCAACAAUUCUUUUCAUUGAUAAAUCCGUUGGUGGAUAUAAGACGAAGCAACUAAUUUUAAAUUUUAUGACAUACUUGGAUUGGACCUAACUUUUAAUCGACGUCGGAUGGAGACCCACGAUAGCUUUUUAGAAAAGGAAUUUCGAAACGCAUGACUUUUAAAAGUGUGAUUAGGGUAACAGGCCUGGUCACAAAAUUCAAGUGGUCAAUUUUUCAUUUUAAUUAUUUUUUUAAAUAUUUUUAUAAUUUUGCAUAUUAGAAUUUUUUCUAUUAUAAAUAGGUUUUGGCUAUUUGAGACUCACUUGUCACUUUUUUAAGAAUUUCGAUAAGACUUUUCCACUUUUAACCAUUCGUUUUUUUCAUAUCGUCUUAGUCAAACAAUAUUGAUAAAAAUUACAGACGGAGUUCUUUAUCAAAUAGUACCAUUCAUUUUUUAAAAGUCUGGUUGUUAAGAUUUUACCAACAAAUUUCAAAUUUGUUAGCGCUAUGUACUACUGAAUUUAUCAACAUAGAUUUCCAUAUCUUAUCUAAUUUGGGUUGUAGUCUAGAACUUUUCAUGUUGAGUUAUAAUAUGGUGCAUAAAUAAAGUAUACUUAAAAUUCAAGCCAUAUAAAUAACAUAAUUUAUGUUUAAUAUUUAUUAAAAAUAUAAAUAUAUUUAGAAAGAAAGUGUAGAUGAUAAAAUAAAGUAUGAAAAAUUAAAAAAAUGAGAGAAAGUAGAAAUAGUAGAAAAGUAAAUGGUAUAAAAUGAGAGAAAAUUAUUAAAAAGAAAAAGAAAAAGGAGAAAAAACUAAGAAAAUGAUUAAAAAGAAAAAUUAUGGAGAAUAGAAAAGAAUAAAAGAAGAGGGAAAAGAUAAUUAAAGAAGUGAGGGAAAAGGAAAUAAAUGAUUAGAGAAAAAAAAAUGAAUGAAGAGAAAAUAAUAGAAAAGAAAAAGAUAGAUAAAAAAAUAAUAGAAAAAACUAAAAUUAGAGAAAUUAAUAUGAAUAAGAAUUAUAUAAAAAUAAAAAAAUGAGACAUAAAAAAGGAAGAAAAAUAAUGAAAGAAAAGAAAAUGAAAAAAGUUAUAGAAAGAAAAAUUAUAGAGCAAAAUGAAGAAAAUAAGAACAGAUGAAGAGAAUAAGAGAAAAAAAAGGAUAAUAGAAGAAUGAGAAAUGAUAAAAAAAUAAUAAUAAUAAGAGAAAAAAGAUUAUGAGAUUAGAAAGUUAAAAUAAAAGAAAAUAAUAAAAAAUGAAAAAAAUGAAAAAAAAAAGGAAAAUGAAAAAAUAAAAAAUAAUAUAUGGAUGGAUGACAAAAGGAAAAGGAGAAGUGUUAAUAUUUAUAAAUCAAAUUAUUAAUGGAUUAUAAAUAUUUUAAAGAAAAUGUGUUUUUGAAGAGAAAGAAGGAGAAGCAUGCCUUUUUCCUUUUAUUCAAGAUGUAAUGAGUUUUUACAAGAGUAAGAUAAUCCCGAAACUUAGUUUUAGAGGAGCUUAUAUACUCCUCACGUGGAGCGUAACAGGUGCUCAGAUUGUAAAAGGACAAUUAUGCCCAUAAGACAGCAAAGAAUAAAACAAAACAAUAUAUAUCAACUAAACUAUGAUUAUCUUGCAUUCUCUUCACGCCUCCUGCAAGUUGGAACUGGGAUGGAGACCAGGGGCAACUUGGAACAAAGGUGGUGAUGCUGAUCAGAAGAUAAAGGCUUGGUGAGCAAGUCUGCAAGUUGAGCAGUGGUGGAAACAUGCGAAGGGUGAAUGAAGCCCCGCUGAAGCUGCUCACGGACAAUGUGGCAGUCAAUCGAAAUGUGUUUUGUACGUUCAUGAAACACCGGGUUAGCAGCGAUAUGCAAGGCAGCCUGAUUGUCACAGUGGAGAGGGAUUGGCAGCUGAGUAGGCACCUGCAAGUCUUGAAGAAUAUAAGAAAUCCACAAUAAUUCACAAAUAGUACUUGCCAUAGCACGAUAUUCCGCCUCAGCGAAUGAUUUUGAGACAGUGGGUUGUUUCUUGGUUUUCCAAGAAACCAAUGAGGAUCCAAAAAAAAUGCAGAAUCCAGUGAGAGAUUUGCGCGAAAAGGGGCAGGAGGCCCAAUCAGAAUCACAGUAAGCUGUGAGAGGCAUGGUGGCAGUAACAGGAAAGCAUAGCCCUUGAUGUAUAGUGCCUUUCAAGUAGCGAAGGACAUGCAUGGCAGCCUCCCAAUGAGGCUUGCGGGGUUGAUGCAUGAACUGGCUCAGAUGUUGGACAGCAUAACUGAGGUCAGGCCGUGUAAGAUUAACAUAUAGCAACCUCCCAAUUAGACGUCUGUAAGCAUGGGGUUCAGGAAGAAUAUCUCCUGUGUCCAGAGAGAGAUGCAGCCCUUUAGGCAAGGGAAAGGAGGCUGGUUUGCAUGAGUGCAUACCAGCAUCCCUCAAAAUGUCAGAAAUAUACUUGGUUUGGCUUAAAAGAGUAGCAGUAGAUGAUCUGGCCACUUCUAGGCCAAGAAAGUAUUUCAGAAACCCCAAGUCUUUAAUGGUGAACUUGGAAUGUAAAGCAUUUUUAACCUCAGUCAUAGCAACAGUAGAGGUACCAGUAAGAAGAAUGUCAUCCACAUAUAUUAACAAGGCCAAAAAAUAGUCAGUAGUGCAUUUAACAAACAGGCAGUAGUCAUGGGCAGAUUGGGUGAAACCUAGUGUCUGUAAAAAACUUGUAAACUCAAGAUUCUAUUGCCGAGAAGCCUGUUUAAGUCCAUAUAAGGACUUCUGGAGGAGGCAGACUUGCCCGGGCAGAGCUUUAUCAUAACCCUGUGGUGGAAGCAUAUAGACUUCCUCAUCUAAGGUGCCAUGUAAGAAAGCAUUGUUUAUGUCAAGUUGAAACACAGGCCAUUGUUUAUGAGUAGCAAGGGCUAUGAGAAUACGAACUGUAGCCAAUUUGGCAACAGGAGAAAACCGAUCUUUAUAAUCAAGACCUUCAAUUUGAUUGUAACCCUUGGCGACCAACCGGGCUUUGAAUCUAUCAAUGUCACCAUUUGGUUUACAUUUGACCUUAUAGACCCAUUUACAACCUAUGGCUUUCUUGCCUUUAGGAAGGGUUGUAAGGAUCCAGGUGUUAUUCUGUUCGAGGGCAUGCAAUUCAUGUUGCAUUGCAUUAACCCAAUCAGUAUUUUGCGAUGCCUGAAUGUAGGUGGCAGGUUCUGGAAUGUGAGAAAUGUUCAGGACAUAUGUUUGAUAUGAAGGUGAAAGGUGAAUGGUGGAAAUGGGAGGAUGGACAGUGGUGAUUGCCGUGGCAACAAAGUCAUCCAGCCACGCUGGUGGUUUAAUGGCUCUGGAAGACCUUCGGAGGCCAGAGAGAUCAGGAGAAGGCUGAGAAGGUGAGGAUAUAGAUGUGAUAGGCUCUGAAUCAGGUAUGGGAAUAGGCAGCACCACAGGGGGUUGCAGAGAUUGUGUGCUAAAGGGAAAAAUGUGUUCAUAGAACACAACAUCACGGCUAACAAAGAUAGCACCAGUAGCUAGAUCAUAGAGUUUGUAAGCUUUGUGAUUACUGGCAUAACUAAUAAAGGCUGCCUUAAUGGACUUGGUACCAAAUUUGUCUUUGUGAGUGUUUGUUUUGGUGGCAAAACAAAGGCAUCCAAAUUUUUUUAGAUGGAAAUAAUCAGGGGCUUUCCCAUAGAGACGCUCAUAAGGGCUCUGCCAACCAAAUUGGGCCAUAGGAAGUCUGUUUAUUAGAUAGGUGGCAGUAAGGACACAUUCAGACCAAAAAGUGUGUGGGACAUGAGAGUGUAUUUUGAGAGCUCUAGCCAUGUCUAAAAGAUGUCUGUGCUUUCUCUCAACCACUCCAUUUUGUUGAGGAGUGUGAGGACAAGAUCUUUGAUGUAUUAUGCCCUUUUGAUUUAAUAGUCUAGAGCAAUCAUUACUAAGAAAUUCACAUCCGUUAUUUGUCCUUAUUGUCUUGACAGAGGCAUUGAAGUGAGUUUGCACCAUAUUCAGAAAUGUAGAUAAGAUAUGAACAGUUUGACUUUUAAGGCGCAUUAAGAAGGUCCAGGUGGCCCUGGUAUUGUCAUCAACUAAAGUGAGAAAGUAUUUUGCUCCUGUGACACUUUCUAUGUUAUAAGGGCCCCAAAUAUCUAUGUGGAGGAGAUCAAAAGGUUCCUUAGCAACAGUGGUACUAAGGGAAAAGGGUAACCUGGCCUGCUUGGCUUGGGAACAGGUUUGGCACUGUAAAGGAGUACCCUUAGUGUGUUUAAGCACAUCAAUAUGUUUGAGUUUCCCAAGGGAUGCAUGCCCUAGUCUAUCAUGCCAAUCAACAAUAUUACUAGCAUACAUACAAGAUUCAGUUCGAGAAGAUUGGCUUUCUUUAUUUAUAGAAUGUGUAGAAAGCAUGGUAUUUANNNNNNNNNNNNNNNNNNNNNNNNNNNNNNNNNNNNNNNNNNNNNNNNNNNNNNNNNNNNNNNNNNNNNNNNNNNNNNNNNNNNNNNNNNNNNNNNNNNNNNNNNNNNNNNNNNNNNNNNNNNNNNNNNNNNNNNNNNNNNNNNNNNNNNNNNNNNNNNNNNNNNNNNNNNNNNNNNNNNNNNNNNNNNNNNNNNNNNNNNNNNNNNNNNNNNNNNNNNNNNNNNNNNNNNNNNNNNNNNNNNNNNNNNNNNNNNNNNNNNNNNNNNNNNNNNNNNNNNNNNNNNNNNNNNNNNNNNNNNNNNNNNNNNNNNNNNNNNNNNNNNNNNNNNNNNNNNNNNNNNNNNNNNNNNNNNNNNNNNNNNNNNNNNNNNNNNNNNNNNNNNNNNNNNNNNNNNNNNNNNNNNNNNNNNNNNNNNNNNNNNNNNNNNNNNNNNNNNNNNNNNNNNNNNNNNNNNNNNNNNNNNNNNNNNNNNNNNNNNNNNNNNNNNNNNNNNNNNNNNNNNNNNNNNNNNNNNNNNNNNNNNNNNNNNNNNNNNNNNNNNNNNNNNNNNNNNNNNNNNNNNNNNNNNNNNNNNNNNNNNNNNNNNNNNNNNNNNNNNNNNNNNNNNNNNNNNNNNNNNNNNNNNNNNNNNNNNNNNNNNNNNNNNNNNNNNNNNNNNNNNNNNNNNNNNNNNNNNNNNNNNNNNNNNNNNNNNNNNNNNNNNNNNNNNNNNNNNNNNNNNNNNNNNNNNNNNNNNNNNNNNNNNNNNNNNNNNNNNNNNNNNNNNNNNNNNNNNNNNNNNNNNNNNNNNNNNNNNNNNNNNNNNNNNNNNNNNNNNNNNNNNNNNNNNNNNNNNNNNNNNNNNNNNNNNNNNNNNNNNNNNNNNNNNNNNNNNNNNNNNNNNNNNNNNNNNNNNNNNNNNNNNNNNNNNNNNNNNNNNNNNNNNNNNNNNNNNNNNNNNNNNNNNNNNNNNNNNNNNNNNNNNNNNNNNNNNNNNNNNNNNNNNNNNNNNNNNNNNNNNNNNNNNNNNNNNNNNNNNNNNNNNNNNNNNNNNNNNNNNNNNNNNNNNNNNNNNNNNNNNNNNNNACAGGUGCAUGGAGGAAGGGUCUCCAUUGAUCCCAAUUCAUCCCAAAACCCUUUCAAUUUAGUGAAAUAGACAGAUGCAGAGGCAUUGUCUUGAGAUAUCAAGGAUAUUUUCCUACGCAACUCAUAGAUCAUGGUUCCAUUACACUCACCGAAUCUUUCGGUAAUUUCAAGCCAGAGAUCCCUAGGUGAGGCUGUGUAAAUGAAGCCAUCGACUAACUCUCUGGAUAUAGAAUUUAGAAUCCAGGAUGUGACCAUAAAGUCACAUCGCUUCCAUUGUUCAUAGGAAUCAGAUCCUUUAUCAGGUAUUGUAACGGUGCCUUCUAUAAAUUCCAGUUUCUGUUUGGCUCCUAGGGCUAUCCUAAUGGCUCUACACCAAGACCUAAAAUUUGUCCCUAUCAGAGGAGCAUAUACUAAAACCAUACCUGGAUGGUCCGAAGACUGGAGAGUCAGAGGAUCUCCAAGAUUCUGAGUUCCGAUCUGGAUUUUGUCCUUCGCCUCCGUGAUUUUGCCUUCUUUACUGGUAUUCCCUCGUUCUGCCAUGAUCGACAAGAUUUGUCCGUUUUAGCCACAGAUCGUGGUGUAAGUUUGUAGAUCUGACUGAGUUGAGGCCGUCUUGAAGGAAAACGGAAAGAUUAACGAGAUCUGCUUGUCAUGCAAGCCAGAUUCGGUGUAGGACUGGUGAUGGCGUUCACCUGGAGUGUAAGCCGGCUCUUUUCGGUAAAGGUUGUUUUAAAAAAGGAAUGGCGAGGAUGAACGGAAGAGACAGGGAAAGGUGCAAACCCUAAUCCGCUCUGAUACCAUGAAGAGAAAGAAGGAGAAGCAUGCCUUUAUCCUUUUAUUCAAGAUGUAAUGAGUUUUUACAAGAGUAAAAUAAUCCCGAAACUUAGUUUUAGAGGAGCUUAUAUACUCCUCACGUGGAGCGUAACAGGUGCUCAGAUUGUAAAAGGACAAUUAUGCCCAUAAGACAGCAAAGAAUAAAACAAAACAAUAUAUAUCAACUAAACUAUUAUUAUCUUGCAUUCUCUUCAUUAUCCUUUAAAAAUUAUUAAAAUAUUUAAAAUUUAUUAAUAAAUUUAUUGGUGAAUGAAAAAUAGUAGAUUUUAAAAAAGUAACACUCAAAUUUUAAGUAAGAUUAUAUUUAAAAUUCAUUAAUAAAUUUAUUGAUGAAUGAAAAACAGUACAUUUUAAAAAAGUAAUACUCAAAUUUUAAGAUUUAAUUUUAAAUUUAUUGAAAGAUAAAAAUACCUUUUCUAUUUAUUAAUUUAAUAAUAAGAAUUAUUAAUAAAUUUUAAAAUUUAUUGGUAAUCUAUUUACAAACUAUUAAUAGAUUUAAAUUUUAUUAAUAAUUUUAAUAGUUUGUUCGGAAGUAUCAAUAAAUUACUAACUGAUUAUUAAAUUUCUACCACAAUAAUUUUAUAAAUUUAUAAAAUUAUCAACAAAUUCUAAAAUCCAUUAUUUAAACUUUUACACAAAAAUAUGACGGAACUUAUUAUUGAAUUCCAAUAACUUAUUAGUAUAUUUCUACGCAUUCUCUUUAUUAAAUAAUGACCAAGCUAUUUAAAAAUGACCCUCAUAUUAUUGGCUAAUUAAUAAUUCAACCAUCUUCUGUGACAGCCUGCUGCUGUGUGGAGAUUACUUGCUCAAGUUUUCUUUUUUUAUUCAAUUAAUUUCAGUUUAAAUAAUUGAACUCAAAAAUAUUGUUGACUUUGGAAAAAGGGUUAAUAGUAUUUAAAUUCAAAGACCAUGAUUGCUCAUUGAUGGAGCCACUAGCGUAAGUAUAUGCAUUCAUAUCUCUUAGGUAGAAAACAAGCCAACCUUCUCUAUUGCCUUGAUAAACAAUAAACAACUUGUUAUUGUCAUUUGACUUUUUAUAUUUUAAUUUUUUUUAUAAAUAUAUGUUGCCCAUAUCACAAAAUUAAUUGGUCAAUUAUUGAAUUCGAAUAUCUCUUUAACCCUUAAGUUGGAUUUUAAUAUAAAGUAUAAAGAAAUCUUAAUUAUAUAAUUUACUAAUUGAAUAAUUGAGGUUUUUUCUUGAAAAAAUUGUAAGUUAGAAGUAAAACGCAUUUUAAAAGUCAUUCAUGAAUAUGCACACAAAAAUAUAUCAGUAGUGAGUGCCAUUUUAAAAAUUUAAUAAUUUGAAAAAAAAAAUAAAAAAAAAGGAAAUUAAGAGAGAUAAACGAAGUGGAAAAGCAAAAUUGAUAAACUUCACUUACAUCUUAAUUUUCAUCUAUUUAUAUUAUUUUUAAAUUGAAUUUUCUUUUUGAUUUUCCACUGAAAUAAAAGGAAUUAUAAAGUAUAUACCAAAACCUCAAUCUCAAUGAAGUAAUUAGGUUUAUUAAAAUUAUUUACUUUCUUAAAAGAUGAAAGGGUGGAAAGGAUAAGAAUAGCAUUUUUUAAUUAUAUAGUUAAAUUCAUUAAUCUUGAUUUUUAUAUAAAAAACUUAUUUGAUCACUUGAUUGAUGGAAAGAUAAAUAUUAAAUUACUAUUUUUUUAAAAAAAAACAUAACAUUAUCAAUAAAUAUAUAUAAUAGAUACACAUUUUUAUUAUUAUUCAUAGCUUAUCUAAUUCGUAAGAGUGACACUCAAGUAUUAAAGUCAAUUGUUAUUCUAAAAAAAAGUCAAUUAUUUAGAUGUCACAAUGAAAAUAUGACUAUUAUUUUUUGUUUAGAAUAGGAAACAACUCAAUAACAAUUAAAUUUAUAUCCAUUACACAAAAUGUCAUUGACUGGAGCUGGAGGCCACAUGCUGCACAUUCUACGUUCAACGUCAACGUUAUAAUUCUUUUUUUAAGAAAAACGAAGGUCUGAACGCUAAUGUUACCAGCUGUCCUUCCUUUAUCUUUCCUACAUCUCCUUCUCUAUCUCUGAUCUUUCACAUUCACACUUUAAUAUAAGAACUGUAUAUAUAUAUACUUGCAAGAAACCAUUGGUUGUGGUUGAAUAAGUCUGCAACUUCUGAUGGCUUCACCGUGGGGAGAUCGCCGGAAUGAAACUAGAGGUAUUAGUCGUUCUAGCUAAAACUGUUUAAUGAGUUCAAAUAGUAAUAUUGUUAUGGAACUUUCAUUUCAUAUAACUUAUUGAAGCAUGUUGUUUAUUGUAUGGUCACUAAGUACAGAUCCGAAUGAAUCUGACUCAUCUCCUGAGAAGAGUCCAAGUAAUGCAUAUGCAUCUGAUAAUUCUAAGGUUAUUGGGCCAAAAUCAUAUUCAUACAGUGAUUUAGCAAAGGCAACUCGUCAUUUUUCGCUGAAUUACCAAAUUGGUCAAGGUGGUUUUGGUCAAGUCUUUAAGACAUCCUUAAACGGUGAGACCUAUGCUAUCAAGAAACUCAAUAAUUUUGUAGAUGAACAGGCCGAAGGAAAGUUGGAGAACGAGAUUGAGGUCGUCAAUAGAGUCAGUCACAAAAAUCUUGUUAAGCUAGUUGGUUACUGCAUUGAUGGAGCCAACAGAUUGCUUAUUUUAGAGUAUUUUUCUAAUGGGUCCUUGAGAUCUAAAUUACAUGGUGAGUCCAAACCUUUAUUUUAUGUUCAUAUAACUAAUUAAUAUAACAUAAUUAAUCUUAUAAAUUACAAAUGGUACUGUAGGAAAGGAAAAUGUUUUGGACUGGAAAAAGAGAAUGAAAAUCGCCAUAGGUUCUGCAAAAGGAUUGCAAUAUUUACAUGAAGAUUGUGAGUAUAUAUUAAUAGCAUAGUAGGCUUUUUUGAGAAUGAAUUUUAUUUUUUUUUCCUUAUUUGUGCUAAUAAUUUAUUUCCUCUGAAAGUUUUGUUCUCCCUUUUUAUAUAUAUGUUUUUUUUUUUUUUUUCAGGUGAACCUAAAAUCAUACAUUUAGAUGUUAAGGCAGAUAAUAUUCUUCUUGAUGAUAACUUUGAAUCUAAGGUAUGAUAUAUAAUUUGAUAAUAAAUAAAAAUUUUAUUCUUAUCAUCAUAUAACUAUAGUGGAACCUUUACCAUUGAAUAUCAAAAUUUUUAUUUUUAAAUAAUAUUGAAAAAUAAUGUGAACCCAUUAAUUUGAUUGCAUAGGUUUCAGAUUUUGGACUUUCCCUAUUUUUUUCGGAUGCUGCUUCUCAUGUCUCAAGAUCAUCAAUUAGAGGAACCCAAAUGUAUGUAAGAUACAAAUUUCUUUCUAUCAUUUAAUAACUGUCUAUUGUUUUCAGUGCCAUCAUGAUAUCUACUCUUAGAGCUCCUUAAUUUAAAGAUAUUAUUUUCUUACAGGAAAUCUUAAUAUGAACAUUAAUUGUGAAGAUAUUAAGUUUAAUUGUAUGAUUGAAUUGCAGCUAUGCAGAUCCAUUGACAACACAAUUGGGAAAACACUCUGAUAAAUCUGAUGUUUAUUCUUUUGGUGUUACACUUUUGGAGUUGAUUAGUGGGAGAAAACCCAUAAAUCAAAACGGCGUCAAUAUUAUUACUUGGGUAUGAAUCUAUUAAAUUGUAACAAUUUAAUAUAAAAUUGUGUUUUUAGCUUUUGAUAUAAGAAUUGAUCUUUAAAAGAAUGGAUUCAACAAAUCACAAUUGGAUGUAUGGAGAUAAAAUAAUGAAACUUUCUUUCUAGCAACAUUUAAAAAAAACAAAGAAGACAAAAACAUAUGCUAUAUGUUAAAUAUAAAUUUACAGGCAACAUGUAUUUAUAUCCAUUAAUAAAUAAUUUUUAAUGGAUUUUUUGCAGGCAAACUCUUUAAUUGAAAAAGUUUUGAAAGGUGAAUAUGCGGAUUUUGUAGAUUCCAGGUUACAAUCCUUUGACCAUGAAGAAAUGCAUCGAAUUAUUUUUUGUGUUAAUGCUUGCAUAAAUCUACCUCCAAAAUUCCGUCCAUCAAUGAAAAGGGUAAAUUCUGUUUAUAUAAUUUAAUUUUGGUAUAUAUAUAAUACACGUUAUUUGCAAUAAAUUUUAUGGAAGCAUUUAGAGAUUACAAGUGUUGACUUGUAAAUCUUUUUAUCAUUGCUGUGCCAUGUAGGUAGUUCUAGCCCUUGAAGGAAUUCUGCCUCUAAAGAAUGACAACAAAUUGUACUCCAGAGCUUCAUAUGAAGGUCUGUUUUCUUGUAAAAAAUGGAAUAACUUUUGUAAGGUGUUAUUAAUUUUUUAGGAGACUUAUUAUUUAGUCUAUCAAAUAUAGUAAAAUUCGUUAGUUAGUCUCUUAAUUUUGAAAAACAUAUUAAAACGUUCAUAAGAUAAAAAAUCUACUAAUUAAUUUCUCCGUUAAUUUUAGUCAUUAAGCGUUAAAAAAAUCUAAAAUUAAGAACUAAUUAGUUUAAUUUUUAUAAAAUUAAGAGAUCAAUUAAAAAAUUUUAUUUAUAUUAUAGAAACUAAAUAGUAAAAACACUUAACGUCUAAAGUUAACAUAUAACUGAUUAGUGGUUUUUUUAAUAUUUCAGGGAUAUUUUAAUGAGUUCUUUAAAUUAGUGGAUUAACUAGUCAAUUUUAUUAAAUCUGAGGGACUAAAUAAUUAUUUUCUUUCUCUGUAUAUAUAAAUUAUAACUUGAUGAUAAAGUGAGAUCAUUUUAAUGUUAAAAAACCCUUAAUAUUAGAACAGAUUUUGAUUUUUAUUUAAAUCUGAUUGGCAUAUAAUUCCUUUAUUUAAAAGGAGAUGGAAUGAUAUGAACUUAAUUCAUUUUUUAAAAAAAUAAAAAGUAUCCACCUCAGUUCAUGUAUUUAAUAAUUUCUCCUUGUUGAGUUACACUAAUUUACCCUUCUUUUUCCGGAAGCAGAUGAGCCUAAGCCAAGCCCCAAGCCUCCGAUCAUUCCAGAAACUAAUAGAUCAUCAAAUGAAGUUUACAAACCAAGGAGAUUUACUUAUAAACAACUAAGUUCUGCAACUAAAGAUUUCUCCGAAAGCAACCUUCUUUACAGGGGUAUUAUGGGUGAAGUAUAUAUGGCAUCCCUAAAUGAUGUCGGACAAGUGAUAAUCAAGAAAUUUCAUCUCGAAAAAGAAGAUGAAUUCAAGAAGAUUAAAGGCAUCAGCAGUAGUGUUCAUCACGAAAAUCUUGUUAACCUGGUUGGAUACUGCAAUGAAAGAGAUAAUAAUCUGCUUGUUUAUGAGUGUUUUAGGUUUCGAUCCUCUUUAAGAUUUCGUUUACUCGGUAUGCUCUUUAUAAUUAAAUAACUUGCAAAUUCUACAUUUAUCAAAAACCUUAUUUUAUUAUUUUUUGGCCGGAUUUUUAACUAGAUGCGUAUAUAAUACAGGGACAAAAAUAAUGAGUACAUCAAUAAUGGAAUGGCCAACCAUCAAGGGCAUAGCUUUAAGCAUCGCAAAAGGAUUAGUACAUCUCCACGAAUUAUGUGAGUCUUAAACUGAACCAUUAUUUGUUUCUAGUUUUUUUUUUUUUUUUACAUUUUAUUUAUGAUGUCUGUAUUUCCAGAUAAACCUUUGAAUACCUACGAGCAUUACCUGGAUGAUUGCGUAUUUCUUGAUGAUAAUCUUGAACCAAAGGUAGUUAUGAUAAAUUUAAAUAUUUUCAAUGAUCAAUUAUUGAUAUAAAUCUUGGAGAUUAUAUUCUGUGUGUGAUCAAUUAUAUGUAAAAUUAUCAUUCAACAUGUAAUUAUAUCUUUUUUGUUGUAAUUAAAAAUACACUUCUUGUUUCUGUUCAAAAAAAAAAUACACAUCUUGGUUAACUUAGCAAAAAAUAAAAAGAAAGAAAGAAAGAAAGAAAAGCACACACUUUUUUUAAAAUAACAAACCAAAGGUAAAUUUUAUAAAUAUUAAUAUUUAAUUUAUAUGUGUAAUUAGUAAUAGAAAUAAUAAUUAAAAAAAUCAAUAUAGUUGAGUUUCAAGUUGAAUAUAUAUGGCCAUUAUUGGAUUGUGAAACUAUUGAAGUUUACUAAUUGUGUUUGAUGUUGAUCUAUAUGGUGCAAUAAAUUUAUUUGGUUCUUUUUUUUAUCAGUUUGCUGAGUAUGGACGUACCAAUUUUUUCUUAAAAGAUUCUGAAAUGCUUCUUUCUAGCAGGUAAAAAUGAUUAUUAUAUUUUGUUUCUUGAUUAGAUUAUUUGCAACUACAUGACUUAUAUUUGAUAUGUUAGGAAUUUUUUUUUGGCAUUUAAGGAAGAAAAACAUCUUAGCAUUCUUAUACUUUUAGUGAAGAUUUGUCGACAAUUAUUCUUAUAUUUUCUUUUAUCUUCUAUUGCAGUUCAACGACUUCUACAUAUCUUAAGUUUGAUGUGUAUUUUUUGGGUAUAAUUCUUCUGAAGCUUAUUACUGGGAAACAACAACAUAAUGACAUCAGUUCUAUUAAUGACUAUAACUUGAUCGAAUUGGUAUGUAUUUCUUCCCAUAGUCUAAAAUGCAAGUAGCAAAAUUCAAAAUAGAUCAAAUAAUUCAUUGUUGAUAUUAGCCAUAGUCUAAAAUGCAAGUAGCAAAAUUCAGAAUAGAUAAAAUAAUUCAUUGUUGAUAUUAGCAAUGAGGAUUUAGUGACAUGCUAACUCCAUUGCUGAAGUUAAUUUUAACUAGCAAUAUAUAAUUGUCAAAUUAAAAUAGUCACUGAAAAGCUUGUCAACAAUUUAAAAAUGGAUUAGCAAUGGAAUCGAUUGUGAAUCUACAUUAUUAGCGACAGAUCUAUCAAUCCAUCACUUGAAGUCUAUUUUUUAUUAUUUUGUAUUGUAUGUAUAUAUACAUUCUUUUAUAUGUCAAUGAUUUUUUUAAUGUAUUAAUUAUAAUUCAGAUGGCGAUUCACCUAAAAAAUAAUUGGCCCAAAAGUGACUAUAGUUUUGUCGAUCCAAGAAUUGAGAGUUAUGACAAACAUGAAAUGGAUCAAAUGAUUGAAUGUGCUAUAGCAUGUGUAAAUCCUUGUCCACAAUAUCGACCUCAAAUGAGUCAGGUAUGUAAUAAUUCUUUUAAAAAGGAUUGUAGAAAUGUGUAUAUGAAUAAAUAUUUACAAUUAAAACUAAAAAUCAGAAUUAAUUGAACUCAUUUCAGCCUAUUUAAUUUAACUGUUAGAAUAUAUUUAAUAGCAGAUAAUUUUUUGUAAUGAGUAGCUAACAAAUAAGUCGAGUUGAUAUAUCUUAGAUGUUUUAUAAAUUAUGUCUAAUUCAUAUGAUUAAUAUGUCACAUGAGUAAUUGGCAAAUAUCAAUUUAUUAUACUAUUGAAAUAAAUAUAAAAUUAUUAAUUUAUUAUACAAUAUAUAUAGUAAUUAAAAGCAUAAUUUUUCAAAAUAUAAUUGUUUUCAUGCAUAUACAUAAUUUUUUGUUCUAUAAUAAUUAAUAUUAUAAAUAUUUUAAUUGUUAUUUAUAAUAUUUUUAAUUUAUUUAUUAUCUCUUAUAAUUUUAAGUAAUUUAUUGAUAUAAAAAUUUAAUUUAAAAAUUAUUAUUAAGAAAAUUUUAAAAGAUAAUAUAUUCUAAAUAAAAAAUAAAAUUAAAAUAACUAUUAAGUAGUAAAAAACAAUUCUAAUAUUCGAGCUUAUGUGAACUACAACUAAUAAGUCUCAUAUAAACUACUAAUUGGUUUUUAAACAUUUAAAAAAUAUAUUAAUUAUAGUUAUAGCCAUUGCUGUAAACAAAUUCUGAACUAUGACUCAUCUUUAUUUAUUCCAUUUCUUAUGAAAAGCAGGUGGUCGAAGUUCUAGCAGGAAAUAUUCCUGCGAGAAAUCUCGAGAAGAAUUUUUUCUUUUUUCAUGAAAAAAAAGAAUGAAAGAUUUUUGGAUUCUGGGGAUGAAGUAUAUAUGUAUAUCUGCAGCAAAGCUAAAGAGUGUAAUAGUUAUCUUUUAUCAGAUAAUUUCAGAUUGGCAACUCAGUAUCAAAUUGAGAAAAUAAAAAUUAUUCCAUUAAUUGUAAGCAUAAAUAACUUUGUAUAAUUUUUUUUUUUUUUUCUAAGCAUACUUUGUAUCAAUUUACUAUUUAAAUAAAAAGUAAUAUUUCAUAUAUAUUGUUAAUUCUAUUAAUUAUAAUAAAACCUUAAUGACUUAAAUAAACCUCUUGUUAGUAUCUAAAUUAAGGAAUGAAUGAAAAUCAUCACCAUAUGAUGAAUUAGAUUCCACCUUGCUUAAAUUCAAAGGCCAUGAUUGUUCAUUGAUAGAGUCAAUAGCGUAAGUGUAUUCAUUCAUAUUUUUAAGUGGAAAUCAAGCUAACCUUCUCGAUUGCCUUAAUAAACAAUAAACAACUUCUUACUUUUAUAAGAUUUUUAUAUUUUAAAUUUUUUUUAUUUUUAUAAUUUUAUGUUGCCCACAAUACAAAAUUAAUUAGUCAAUUAUUGAAUUCGAAUAUAUCUGUAUUCUAACCCUUGAGUUGGACUUUAAUAUAAAGUAUAGAGAUAUUAAUUAUAUUAAUAAUAAAAUAUUAAUAAUAUCUCCAUCAUUGAGGUGUUUUUCUUAAAAAAAAAUGUUAGGUGUAAAAUCCAUCAGAUGAAUACACAUUAAAAUGUAUAAAUAUCAAGUGCCUUCAUAAAAAAUUAAUAAUUUGAAAAAGAAAAGAGAAAAAAGAAUAAUUAAGAGAGAUAAAUGAAGUGGAGCAAAAUUGAUAAACUUAAUUUUCAUCUAUUUAUAUUAUUUUUUCCCUGCAAAAUAUCGAGCUGGAGGCCACAUGCUGCGCAUUCUACGCUCAUCGUCAACGUUAAUUUUCUUUUUUUUAAGGAAAAUGAAGGUCUGAAUGGGCACAUCUCCCUCUCCAUCUCUGACCAUUCGCAUUCACACUUAAUAAGCACUGUAUUUUAUAUAUAUAUACUUGCAACAAACCUCUGACUGUGGUUGGGCAAGUUGAUCUGCGACUUCCGAUGGCCUCUCGCUGGGGGAUGAACAGGGCAGAUAGCCAGAGUGAAACUAGAGGUAUUAAUUUUUUUUUAGCUGCAACUGAGUAACGAGUUCAAUAGUAAUAGUUUCAUGGAACUUUCGUUUCAUUAAACUAUUUGAGGCAUGUUGUUUAUUGAUUGUCACUGCGCACAGAUCGGAAUGAAUCUGGCUCAUCUCCUGAGAAGAGUCGAAGUUAUGCAUCUAACAAUUAUAAGGGUAUUGGGCCAAAGUCAUAUUCAUACAGUGAACUAGCAAAGGCAACUGGUCUUUUCUCGCUCAAUAACCAACUUGGUCAAGGUGGUUUUGGUCAAGUUUUUAAGGCAAUCUUAGAUGGUAAGAUCCGUGCUAUCAAGAAACUUAAUAAUUUUCCAGAUAUACAGUCUGAAGGAGAUUUGGAGAGGGAGAUUAUGGUCGUCAAUAGAGUCAGUCACAAAAAUCUUGUUAAGCUGGUUGGUUACUGCAUUGAUGGAGCCAACAGAUUACUGAUAUUGAAGUAUUUUCCCAAUAAGUCCUUGAAAUAUACAUUACAUAGUGAGUCCCAUGCACAUUCUUUCUUUUGCCCAUGUUCAUGUAUAAUUAAUAUUUCGUAAUUAAUCUUACAAAUUACAAAUCAUUUUGUAGGAAAGGAGAAUGUUUUAGAUUGGAAAAAAAGAAUGAAUAUUGCAAUAGGUUCUGCAAGAGGAUUGGAAUAUUUACAUGAACACUGUGAGUAUAUAAUAGAGAACAUAUUUUUGCUUGUUAGGCUUUUAAAUUUUGGGAGUGAGUUUUUAUUAAACCUUGUUUAUUUCUUCUAACAGUUCUGUGUUUUCUUUAUAUUAUUUUCAGGUAAACCUAAAAUUAUACAUUUAGAUAUCAAACCUGAUAAUAUUCUUCUUGAUAAUGAUUUUGAACCUAAGGUAAGAUAGUUUGAUAAUAAAUAUAAAUUUUAUUUAUAUCAUCGUAGAUGUAUGCUGAAAUUUUGAUCAUUUUAUUCCAAAAUUUUAUUUUUGAAAAAUUAUAUCAACCCAUUAAUUUGAUUGUUGUAAUUAAUUAAUAAUGAACCUUAAUAAGGCUUCUUAUCUUCUUUUCAUGCUCUACUACUUUCUUAAUAAACCUUAUUGGAGUACGGAAAAUAGUAUAAUUUUCCAAAUAAAAAAUAUAUAUAUUCGUGAAAUUAAAUGUGAAAAAUAAUUAUACCUUUUAAUUAAUAUUUAUAUUACAUAUGCAUGGCAUAAUAAAUUUACUAAUCUACUUAAAUCAUUUGUUUAGGUUUCAGAUUUUGGACUUGCCCUAUUCUUUAAGGAUGCUGCUACUCACGUAUCCAGAUCAUCAACUUUGGGAACUCAUAUGUACGUAAAAAAAAACUUUCUUUCUAUUAUUUAAUUACUUCACUAUUAUUGCCUUUUUUUUUCAAUGUCGUCGUUAUCUAAUCUUAAAAUAAUUUAAAAAAUUAAAUUAAAUUAAAAAAAAAAAAGAAAAAGUAAAAAAAGAAAUUAGGCUCUUAAUUUGAAGAUAUUAGUUUUUUAAAGAAAAUCUUAACACAAAUUUUAAUUGUAAUUGUAAUGAUUUAUUAACACAAAUUUUAAUUGUAAUUGUAAUGAUUUAAUUACAGUUAUGCAGACCCAUUAUCAACGAAAUUGGAAAAAUAUUCUGAUAAAUCCGAUGUUUAUUCUUUUGGUGUUACGUUGUUGGAGCUUAUUACUGGACAAAAUUCUAUUAUUGAUGCAAGCACCGACAUCGUUACUUGGGUAUGACUCUUUAUUAUUAAUAGUUUAAUAUAAAAAUUACAAUAUAAAAAUUGUGAUAUAAAAAUCAAUCUAAAAGAAGAAUUGAAUUCAAAUCUCAGUUGGAUGUAUUUAAUAAUGAAUCAUUCUCUAUAGCCACAUGAAAAAAAUAGAAAAGGACAACCCAUAUGCUAUAAGUUAAAUACAAAUGUACAUGCAACAUACAUUUAUGAUCCAUUAAUAAAUAACUCAUUAAUGAUAUUGUAGGCAAAACCUCUAAUACAAAAGGCUUUGGAGGGAGAAUAUGCAGAUUUUGUAGAUUCAAGAUUGCAAUCUUUUGACCACGAACAAAUGCAUAGAAUGAUUUUUUGUGCUAAUGCUUGCAUAAAUCAACCGCUAAAAUAUCGUCCAUCAAUGAAAAUGGUAAAAUUUAUUUUUAUAAUUUAAUUUUGAUAUAUUUCAAAACUUUGUCUAUAUAUAUAUAUAUAUAUAUAUAUAUAUAGAUUACAUAAUAUAUUCAAUUGAGUUUGCAGAAGCGUUGAGAGAUCACAUUGUUGACUUAUAAAUCUUUUUAUCAUUGAUAUGCCAUGUAGAUACUUUUAGCUCUUGAAGAAAUUUUGCCUCUAGGAAAUCUGUGCGAUGAGAAGAACAACAACAAAUUGCAAUUGAAAGCUACUUACAAAGGUAAAUUUCUUAUAAAAAAUAAAAAAUAUCUAUUUCGAAAUGUUAUUCAUUUUUUUUAUGGAUAAAAUAUAACUUAAUGAUAAAGUGGAAUCAUCUUAAUGUUAAAAAACUGAACAAAUUUUAAUUUAUUUAAAUGACAUAUAAUCCUUUAUUUAAAAGGAGGAAGGGAUGACAUGAACUGAACUAAUUCACCUUUUUGUAAAAAAAAAGUAUCCACCUCUGUUCAUGUACUUGAUCCUUUUUUCCUUUAAUAAUUUAUCCUUAUAGAGCUGCACUAGUUUACCAUUUUGUUUUCUGAAGCAGAUGAGCUUAAGCCAAGCCUCAAGCCUCCUAUCAAUCAAGAAACUAAUAAGCCAAGCUCCAAGCCUCCUGUCAUUCAAGAAACUAAUCAAAUCGUUGUACGGAAGGGUCGAAGCACCAGUCGGCAGCCAAGAGAAGCAACUAGUAAUAGUUCCUCCAACAGCAUUCGAGAAACUUCAUUUGAUGAGAGAAACCAAGUUUACAAACCAAGGAGAUUUACUUAUCAUCAACUAAGAUCUGCGACUCAAGGUUUCGCUGAAAACAACCUUCUCAACGGGGGUCUUUUGGGUGAAGUUUAUAAGGGUAUCCUAAAUUAUGAUGAAUGGGUGAUGGUAAAGAAAUUCUAUAUAUACAUGCAUGGAGGGAAAGAAGAUGAAUUCAAGAAGAUUAAAGACAUCAGCACCAGUGUCCACAAUAAACAUCUUGUUAACCUAAUUGGAUACUGUGAUGAAGGAGACAAUAGAUUGCUCGUUUACGAGUAUUUUCCAGAUAAGUCCUCCUUGAGAUCUCAUUUAGAAGGUAUGCACUUUUAUCUUAAGCAACUCUUGUCUAUAUUUUAUUUUUUUAUAAUAUUUACUUCUAAACCAAUCAGAUAUUUAUUUUCCCAACAGAUAAUAUGGCAGGGAAAUACCGUUUGGAUUGGCCAACCAGAAUGGCGAUCGCUUUACGCAUCGCAUUAGGAUUGGUACAUCUGCAUGAUCGAUGUGAGUCUUCCCUUGUAUGCUUAGGCCUUGGCUAUAUCAAAGCAUGAUUUUCCCAGAUAUUUCUCACUUAAUGUUUGUGAUCUCUAUAUUUUUCAGACAAGCCCUGGAAUAUAUACGAGCAUUAUAAGGAUAAUAGCAUCUUUCUUGAUGAAAUUCUUCAACCAAAGGUGAUUAUAUAUAUGGCAGAUUUAAACAUUUUCGAAUGAUCAAUUAGUGGUAAUAUUUCUCAUAUUGGACAUUGAUGAUCUGAGAUCCAGAAAAUAGGGUUUUUUACAAUGGGUUUGUGAAUCUUAGCUAAGAAGAAAAUCCCCCAAGGAGAGAAUGUUUCUUCUAUUUAUCUGUUUCCAUUGCCUAUCCGUGACGUGUAACGGCCCAACUUCCAUUGGGCCACCUGUCUCUGCCAUACUGAUACGAUCGUACAAGGAUAUCAGAUUCCUGCCCCAUGCAUAACAGCCUCUGAUUUCCUCUGGGCGCGCAUAUGGAUGGACCCACAAGACAGACGGGUCGAUCCACUUCCUGAUUCUGAGUUGGAUCCGAAGAUUGGAUUAAAACUGAGCCCAAGCCGGAUCUGUCUAAUGGGCCGUGGGGAUUGGGUCGACCUGUUUGAGGAAGAUAGCUGGAUCUCGGUCUUAAAGCUGAGUGGACCGGACCUGGUUCAUGUGGGAGACUUGAAGGCCUCCAGAUAAUGGGCUGUUGUCAUGGGUCCGGCCCCAAACCGUGAUGGCGAAAACCAGCGGUCAUCAAUUGCCCCUUUACCUCCUCGUCAAUUAUUGCCCGACUGAAGAGGGAGUAAAUACCGAGAGUCAUCAUGACCGCGCCACCCAAGGACAAAACUAUUCAAAACAUCUUUUCGGCUCUUUAUUGUUUCAAAUUUCAUUUCCCGUCAAUCUCCCCAGAACGUUGGCUCUUCUCUGUUCUACUGCUCUCUUUGCUUUCCUCUGCUCAUUUGCCCUAAUCACUUUUCAGGUACGCCUCUUCUUUUACUAUGGAUAGUUCUAGUCUCCCCGAUGUCGUCGACCAGGAGUCUAGCAUCACCCAGUCUAACAUUAGGAGUUUCAUCUCUAGGAAAUACCUGGAUACCCCUCUUUAUCACAUCCGGGCUCCUUACCCGAAUGAGAGAAUCGUUCUUCCUAAUCCUUCUCCCCCUGGCCUAAUCGACCCUCAAAGGGACGUCAGUCUAGUUUUCUUUAUCAAACAGAGGGAGUACGGUCUGUCCUUUCCCUUUUCUCCUUUCUUCAAAAAGGUCUUCCAGUAUUUCGUGAUCACCCCUCGAAUGCUAACCCCUAACUUCGUUCUUUUCAUGUCUUGCUUUGAAUCUGUGUGUUUGAGCUGGGGGUUUACACCCACGGUUCACCUGUUCGUCAGCUUCUUCAGGCUAGUCAAAGUGAGCCAGAAAUUUUAUUACUUUGCCCCUCGCGGAGGGUUGUCCAUUUUCACGGGUUAUAAAGACUCCAUCAAGGGCUGGGUAGAGGGGUUUCUGGUGGUGGAGUUGAAGAAGAAUACGGGGUUGGCUUGGGAGCUCGAUCUUGCCUGGGAGGAUGUCUCUCUAGGUUGCAACGACCUGCCCCAGUUGGACCUUACUGAGCAGGUCGGAUUCCUUCGACUGACUUCUGUGGAUAGGAAGUAUGCCAUCGAAAAGUGCUUGUUCGCAUCCAACCUUAGGGAUAUUAAGGACGCGGGUAUCUUAUUCUAUCUGCCUGUGUUAGUUUUUGCUUACGCGAUCUUUGGUGAGAACUGUUCUGAUUUGCUUUGAUUUUUAAUUUUGUAGCCUCUGAGGUGAAAAUGGAUCGGAUUAAGCCUCCCAAGAAUCUCAUACUGUCCCGGGAGAGCAUGGACACUGCUCUGGAUGCCCUCCUGGCUGGGCAAUCCAUAAGGGAGGCUACUCAAAGGGUGGCCGAGGUUAUUUCUUCCAGAUCGGGUACCCGACCUCCUCCUCCUUCGGUCUCCUCACAAGCUCCUAGGCCAAACUCCCGACGUAGUAAGUCGUCUCGGCCCUCUAGUCGCAGCAAACCGAACUCGACUCACCAGUCCUUUCAAGCCCCCCGACCUCAACACUCUUCUACUGAGAGGGCAGAAGAGACUCCAAGAAUUAUUUCUGAAGUGGCUGAGAAAGCCAGGCUGACGAGGACGGAUCCCGCCCUUCCUCCUGUGGACGCUUCUGAUGUGGGGCUUGAAGUUCCCGCUGUUAUUGAGGAGGAGGUCUCCAAGGUGGGGUUCGAGGCCCCCAUUACUGAAGAGGAAGCUCCAGGGAAAAGUAAGGAGGUUAUUCUUAUAGACGAAGAUGUCCAGGAGGCCCUUACCGGAGAUGUUGGAUCCGGCCCUGCUAAUGACGGAGGAGUCACAGAGAAGGCUGGGGACAAGCGUCCUGCCUCUCCCGAAAUGUCUGCCCCAGCUCCUGCUCGGAAGAAAUCCAGGGUUUCCAAGGGAUCAGCUCCAGCUCUCUCUCCUAUUGGAAAGAGAAAGGAAGCUUCCAAGGGAUUAGCUCCCGCUCUCCCCCCUCUCGAAAAGAAGAAGGAUGUUCUUGUGAUACCCCUGUUGUCUGCUCUUGACAACGACAUUUUGAACGCUGAGAACAUAACUCAUCAAACUCCAGCGAGUGUCGUAACGGAGAUCUUACGGGAGCGAAUGUUCGGGGGAAUCACAGAGGCUUCAGACUCUCGUCUACUUGCUUUGACCGGCCAUUUGGCUGGCUUCACACGGGAGUAGACAGCCUUCCGGUCUCUACCUCGAGGGGAGCUUGGAGAUAGGAUUAGGGAGAUGCUUCUGAUGGUAAGUUGUUCGUUCCAAUUUCUGCUCGUAUUCCAAUUUUCUUUGUUUCUUUGUUCUGACAGCUUUCUCUUUUUGUACUAGGUGAUGGGCCUCUUCAUGGUGGUGGACGCUCGUGACCUCUCUCUCUUAGAAUCUGUUGAUCGUCGGAUCGAGGAGGCGCGUCUGGAGGAGAACCUGUCUGCAACCAGUGAUGCCAGGAGCAACCUUGCGGCAGCUCGAGAGCAUGCUAGGUCCCUAGAGGCGGAGUUGUCUCACGCUCGAAGGGUUCUUAAAGAGUCUAACGAUAGGGCAGCUGCUGUUGAAGUCCGCUGUGAAGAAGUCCUGAAGCAGCUGUCCUCUACGGUAGAUGCCCUUCGUGAAAAGGACGAGGCUUUAAAUCAAAGGGACGAGGCCCAGCGUCAGUAUGAGGCCUUGAAGGCUGAUUUCGAGGGAGUCCGGGCACGUCUUAUCAAGGUGGAAGUCCAGAAGGAGGGGGCACUAGCUCGGGUCGAGGUUCUUGAGCAGGAGUUGAGUAAGAGUUCAGAUCGCAUCAGAGAUUUGGCCUCGGCGGCAGAGGAAUCUAAACUUCUCAAUCAAAAACUCUGUCAUGAGGUCGAGACUAUGGAGCAUAGAUGUUCAGCCCUGCUCAAGGAUGUCAGACUCGUUGAAGACAGGGUCCAGCUAGAGUGUGAGAGGCGUCUGAUGGAGUAUAAAGAGUCUCCCGAGCUGAAAAAAGAGAUCGAUCAGGCCUGUGAAGCGCGCCUCCAGGAUUAUAAAAGUUCUUCUGAAUUUAAAGUCAAGAUAGCUGAGGCCUGUGAGAAGCGACUUGCGGAGUUCCAAGGCUCUGAUGAAAUGAAAACUGCCAUAUGGAAUAGGGGCUUCCGCAUGUUCAUCUCUGGGUAUAAUAGAGGUCUGAGGACAGCCAGAUACGCUCUCUCUACCCCGUUGGCUGAACUCCGAGCUGUAGAGGAAGACUCUGAUGGCGAGGAGGUGCUUUAUGGGGAGGAUGACAGGCCUUUGCCCAAAGGGGCUCCUCGCACUGCAGCUGGGCCUUCUGAGGUAGGCGCCGAGCUGGGAGAUGGAGAUGCUGGGCCUCAAGGGGAAGAGAUUGUGCCUUUUGUGGGUACUGAAGAGUCUAAGCCAGAAGGUGCUGGGCCUCCCAUAGACAGUAAUGUAAAUGUAGAUAGUACAGGGGGUAAUGUAGAUGAUAAUGCCCCCAGACAUGUAAGUCCUUUAAGGACUGUUUUUCCUUCAGUAGAGUAGACUGUAAAGUAGGUUGUAAUUACUUUUAUUUUUAAUGAAAUUUAAUUUUCGAGUUGUGUUGGCGUUUUGAGUUAUUUUGAUUGUUACUUAUUUCUCUAGCUUUAUUUGUACUUGAGUUGUUCUUACCUCGGCUUGUUCUUCCCUCCUCACCGGGCUACUUGUUCUGCUUAAACAGUCUGACUUGUUUAUUUUUAGAGAUUUGAGAAUAGAACACUUAGGCAGUGUCUAACAAAUCUUGUAAGGAAUUGACUACAUUGCCUUCCCUUUCUCGCCCCUCAAUUAAUCAGGGCUGAAAACUUAGCAAGAGACUUAGUCUCUGACUUAUAAUCUUUUUUAAUUUCACAAAGGCGUUCUCAUCUGUAAAUUUUCUCCGAGCUGGAUUUGCCUUAAGGCUAAGAUCUUCAAGCUGUACUUUUUUAUGGAUUUAGGUCUUCACUAUGAGCUUGGUUUUUAACAGCUGACUUAAUAUCGUCAACUUUCUUUCCCUUAUUGUAUAUGUACGAGCUCGGGCGUGUAGCCCUUAUACGACUGAAGUAAAAAGGAUUAUGUACCUCUUUCGAGCAGGGUUGAUCUUCUUCUUUUCAGUUCUGUUUCUUAUCUGCUCACGCCGUUGAACUUCCUUUCAGCUCAUGAGAGGUUUGUUAUCUUCAUUUUAUUCUUUGAGUUUUCUGAGCUUGGUUCUUCUUCGUUGCUUGGUUUUUCGAGUUCGCGCUUCCAGGUCGGCACUUUUGGCCUUUUGUUGUCUUUCUUUUUAAUUUUAGUUUUCGAGUAUGUCUCUGCCGGGCCCUUUGCUGCUUGGGUCUUCUCCUAGACUAGUCGAACUGGUUCAGUGCUAGUCAUCAAGUUUUGAGGUCGGAAUCUUACCAGCCUGUAAUAUGAGUUUGGACGGGUAUUGUGAGAGUGAAACUCUGGUGAUGAAAAGAUCUCCUUCGUUCCCACAGACGGCGCCACUUGAUGAUCUGAGAUCCAGAAAAUAGGGUUUUUUACAAUGGGUCUGUGAAUCUUAGCUAAGAAGAAGUACCCCAAGGUGAGAAUGUUUCUUCUAUUUAUCUGUUUCCAUUGCCUGUCCGUGACGUGUAACGGCCCAGCUUUCAUUGGGCCACCUGUCUCUGCCAUACUGAUACAAUCGUACGAGGAUAUCAGAUUCCUGCCCCAUGCAUAAUGGCCUCUGAUUUCCUCCGGGCGCGCAUGGAGAUGGACCCACAAGACAGACGGGUCGAUCCACUUCCUGAUUCUGAGUUGGAUCCGAAGAUUGGAUUAAAACUGAGCCCAAGCCAGAUCUGUCUAAUGGGCCGUGGGGAUUGGGUCGACCUGUUUGAGGAAGAUAGCUGGAUCUCACUCUUAAAACUGAGCGGACCGGACCUGGUUCAUGUGGGAGACUUGAAGGCCUCCAGAUAAUGGGCUGUUGUCAUGGGUCCGGCCCCAAACCGUGGUGGCAAAAACCAGCGGUCAUCACACAUUAUUAUGUAAAAAAUUUCUUAAGCUUAUUAUUCAAUAUAUGCAACUAUACUUAACUGUAAAUAUAUGGUGCAAUAAAUUUACUUUGAUUAUCAUUUUAAUCAGUUUGCAGAGUAUGAACGUGACAAAUUUUUCUUAAAAGAUUCUGGAAAUUCUAUUACUAGCAGGUAAAGAUGAAACUUUUGUUUAUGUUUCCUCUUCGUCACAUUGCUUGCUCAAGCUUAUAGAUACAUGAUCAAUUCUCCAACUGCAGUUCUAUGUCUUCAAGAUAUGUAAAGCUAGAUGUUUAUUUCUUCGGUGUAAUUCUUUUGGAGAUAAUUACUGGGAAAUUACCUGUUAGUGAUAUUAGUUCCUAUGAUUCCUUCAACUUAAUUGAAUGGGUACGUAUUAUUUUUCUGUUUUAAUACAAAUGAAAAGAGCUUCUUGAUUUGAGUAUGUAAGGGUUUAUUUAUUUAUUAUUCUUAACGUUCAGGCUGUUCCUGCAAUUCAAAAUGAUUGGCCCAAAGGCAACUAUAAGUUUGUUGAUGAAAAAUUGGGGAGAAACUUUGACGAGGAUGAAAUGGAUCGAAUGAUAGAAUGUGCUUUAGCAUGUGUAGAGCGUUAUCCACAAAAUCGACCAGAAAUGAGUAAGGUAAUUUCAUAAAGCUUCAUAUUCUAUUUUAUAUUAUGCACAUACAUUUGAGUUUUAAAUAAUUAAGCAUUAACAGUAUUUUUAUUAUGAUUAUAAAAUUAUUAGUUUAGUACUGUUAAAGAUAAUAAUUUAAAACUGUCAUAAAGAAAAUUCAUUAAAUAUUUAAUAAAAUUAUAAUUUUAGCUGCGUUUUUUAUUCAUUGUGAAAAAAUAAUUAAACCGUUACUUUAUUUUUAACAACAAAAGUAGAUGUAAUAAUCAUCAAUCUGUUAAUAUUAAUUUAUAGUUAUAAUUAAAAAUAUAAGAUAACAAUUUAUAGCUAUUGUUUUAAAUUUAUUUUUAUAGUAAUAAUUAUGAUAAACUAAUAACAUUCAUGUGUUGUAAUUAUACUCUAAUUUGGGGAAUAAAAAAAAACUUAAUUGCUAAAAGUUAAAUUUUGUAAGAAUUAUUAAUGAAGUUAAUCUAUUCCAUUUCUUGGCAGAUCCGGUACUUUUUUUUUUUCCCUUUCUCUAAUUACUUUUCUCGGCAAAGCAGGUUGUUGAAGUUCUAGCAGGAAACAUUCCUCGGAAAAAUCUCAAGAAUUGAGAUGAAAUGUUUGAAAAAGAAAAUUAUUUUUUUCCUUUUCAAUAGAAGUUGGAAACUUCCUUGAAAGGCCGAUUGGACAUUGAAAUAAAAAGAUAGACCUCAGUUGAAGUGGCAAAGGAGUGUAACUGGAAGACUUUCUGAAUUUUGCUUGUAUUGAUGUGUCUUGGAGACUAUUGCAAUUUUUUUUUUAAAAAGUUCCGUUUGAAAUAAAUCGAAUGUAAAAAAGUGAUUUAGCUUUUAUAAAAUCAUAUUAUCUUAAAGUAAUUUUUUUAAUCAAAUCUUUUUAGUCAAUAAAAUUAAAAUUUUAGUUAUUAUGUUUUUAAAUAUACAAAUUAAAUUAAAUUCUUAUAAAUUUUUAGUUUUCAAACAGGAAAAUAAAAGGUUUUGGUAGGUUUGAAUCCAAAUAAGAACCUUGAGAGAAUUAUAUCACCCCAAAUUGCUGGACUAUCUACAGUAGCAUUUCUUUUUCAAAAAACAAUUGAAAAUGAGGUUAAUUCUUAUUCUAUUAACUAAAAUUAAAAAACUUUUUUUUUUUAAAUGAAGAUUGGAGAAAUAAAAUUUAAGAUCUCACAUAUUUAUUUUUUUUAAAAUAACAAGAAAACUUCAUUAAUUCAAAGAGAACAAAGAAACAAUAUGAGAAUGAGGGAUAUCAAUCCAAACUCCUUGACCUGACUCAGAAUGAGCCGAUAUUGCUAGAAUAUGAGCGACAUCAUUCGCAGAUCUAUGAACAAAAACACACUUUGCUUCCUCAUAACUAGAUAGAAGCAGUUUACAAUCUUGAACCAAAAGGGCAAAAAACGAUAAAUCAUCUAACAAAACACAAUUAACUGACAUCACAAGUACCUGAGCAUCCAAUUCGAAAAGAACUCGAUCCCAUCUACACUCUUUAAUCCAGCUCAAUGCUUCCCGGAAUGCUAUAGUUUCAGCACACUUUGCAUCCAUCUGGCUAUAAAAAGAUGCUGCUCUAGCAGCCACAAAACUCUCAUCAUCCUUCCGGAUUACACAACCGAAACCUACCGAACCUCGUUGCAAGCUUAAAUAGGCGUCAAUGUUCGCCUUGAUCCAACCGUGCGGCGGAGGAGACCAGAUCGGGCGAGCCGGGUCGACAAUGGUGCUUACUGAGGACACGACCCGGGCUACUUUUCAUUGCUGCAAAAAAUUCAGAGCCAUGAAGAACACACCACUCGCAGUCUGACCCUGACUCUUCCAUACAACAUUGUUCCUAUUUUGCCACAAAGCCCAUAAGAUCAUUAGCAUAAGGGAGGCAUUUUCCACAGAAGCAGAAGAAAAGGCUAAAGAAAACCACUCAUUUAAAGAAGAUGCAGAAGGCGCAGGCCAACCCAAUGGCGAGCUUAACCAGCAGCUGCGGGCAAAAGGGUACUGAAUCAGAAUAUGCAAGACAUUCUCAGGGGCUACAUGACACAACAGGCAUGAAGGAUCAACUGGGACUCUCUUGGACUGAAGUGACGAGAGGCAAGGGACAACAUUAACUAGAGCCCGCCAGCAGAAAUUGAGCACUUUUGGGGGAACUUUAGCUUUCCAGAACCUUUUCCAUAUCUCGCUCCCUUCCCUAUGUUGAAAGCCAUCAACCAGGAACCUAUAUGCACUCUUAACCGAAUAGUGACCUUUGGACUCGAAUUUCCAGCACCAUGUAUCAGAACACGAUGAAAGACUAAGAGGGAUGUUCAAAAUACAACUUCUAUCUCUUUCGUUGAACAUCUGUGCAAUUAAACUCUCGUUCCAUCUGUAGUUAAUUAUGAGAUCUGAAACAACAACUCUAGCACAGUUCAAAGGAGGGGUUGUGGAAACCAGGGACUCAGGCAACUCUCUCAACCAGGGUUGCCCCCAGACUGAAACUGACUAACCAUUCCCAAUCCUCCAGUAAGCCCCAGCUCGAAUUAGACCCCGAGUUUUCCAUAUGCUGCGCCACAAAAAACUAGGGUUACUUCCCAAAGGAGCUUCAAAGAAAGAUUGUGUCGAAAAAUAGCGGGCCUUAAGGACACGAGCCACUAAGGACUGAGGCCUAUUUAAAUAUAUUUAUCACCAGAUUGUGAGUGUAAUAUUUAUUAUAUUUUAAUUAUAUUUUAAGAAUUUAAUACGCUAAUAAAUCCUAUAGAGAUGUAAUUGUAUAUUUAAUAUUAUUUUAAUCUUUAAGUCAAAAUCAAUAAUUUCAACUCCAACCAUAGGUUAUGGCACUAAUCAAGUAACAGAGAAAAAUAUUUUUAAAGGGAAAUACUUAUUUUUAAUAAAACAAAUUAACUCAGAGUUAGCUUCUUUUAUUAGUUUAUAUGAAUUUUAUUAUAUUAAUAAUAAAAAUAUAUUUGUUAAAUAUGACCAAAAUUUUAAAAAUGACCCUCUUUUAAAUUCCAAUAUUAAAAUGACCAAGCUUAUUAUUAAUUUAAUUCCAAUAACUUAUCAUAUUUCUCCUUAUUAUCCAUAUUAAACAAUGACCAAGAUUUUAAAAUGACUCUCUCUAAUUUAAUUCUAAUAUUAAAAAUGACCAAAUUUAUUAUCUAUAUUAAACAAUGACCCAGCUUUUUAAAAAUGAUCCUAAGAUCAAACUAACAACUUUGUUGUUUCUUCAUUUAUUAAUAUGCAAGUGGGACAUAAGAAAUCAUUAGUUAAUUAAUUUGGUACGUCCUAUUUUAUAAUACACUGACCAAUCUGAAAGCUGAUUGGCCCCCACAAAUGGAUUAAUUAAUAAUUCAACGUUCUUAAUUAAUGCCGCCUUCAUUGACAGCCUGGGUACUGUUCAGAAACUAACAAUAUAGUAACCUUUGCACCGACUCUGCAUAAUUUGUAUUUUUUUAAUACUCCCUACUUUGAAACUUUAAUUUUCGCUAUGUGUGAUUCAGUAGAUUCGAUUGAAAAUUAAAAUUUAAAUAUUUUUAAAAAUUAAGUUGAAUUAAUUUUAAUUAAAAAUUAAAUUGAACUGAAUUUAUUUAAUUCAAUAUUAUUCGAUUCGAUUUGAUCGAUUUAAAUUUUUAAUAAAUUUUUUAUUUUUUAUGUUUUAUUUUUAAUAAUUUAAAAUUUAAUUAAAAUAUUUUAAUUUUAAUAUAAUUUAAUAUUUUUAUAUUAUUAAAGAUAAUAAAUUAUUAUCAUUAAUCGGUUCAGUGUAAUUUUUUAAUUUUUUUUAUUAAAAUUUAAAUAAAUUGAAAUAAUUGAAAAUUUUAAAAUUAAAAAUCAAAACAAAUUAAAAUAAAUAAAAAAUUAAAUUAAAAUUUUAAAUUAAUUCAAUUCGACCAAUUUUUUCGAUAUAAACCAAAUACUAUUCACCAUAAUUUUUAUCAUUGCGGUCAAAAUUAGAUAAGAUAUUUUUUUAUUAAAAAAAUAUUAUGCACAUGUAAAACGUAUAGGUUAAAAAUAUAUUUACAUAUUUAUAUUUUAAUAUUAUAUACAAAACGAUACAAGAGUGUAUAUAUAUAUAUAUAUAGAUGACUGACUCUCUCUCUCCUUGGCUUUUCAUUUCCUACCUUGACUAACUCUCUCUCUCUCUGUCAUCGUAACCUUGUGGGCAGCCAUGGCUGGGUCUUACUUUCGCUGGUUCAAGAAUAACGAAGGAAACGCCAGUUGCCAAAACAGAGGAGGUAUAUCUUUUGGGCAUAUACUGUAAGAUAAGUCCAACUCUAUUGGAAUUUCUUACCUUCUAAUAUCUAUAUUAAUAUAUAAAAAUCCAAAUCACUGUAUCAUGAUCAUAUAUGACUAGAUUUGUUUGUUAUGUUAUAGAUCUAUUUUUCUUAUAAGAUUUAUCAAUUUUUGUUUUUCAGAUAUUAAUUAUUGACAAUAAAAC